GAUGGAGAGACAGAGAGCACGCAACUGGUAAGUAGCCGAGAAAGCUCUCCUAAAAUAGUUGGUCACCAAUUGUUUCAGCAUUGCGUAUUGAAUAAUACAACCUUCUUCCACUGCCGUGAAAUGUCAACAGCUGCUCUCCCACUAGAUAGGGCGUAGCUUUCCACAGACGUGAAAACAUCGCUGUGGUCCAUCUCUAUUUACUGCAAGCAGAAGGGUCAAGACAGAAAACAUAGAGGCUUUUAGUAGGAGAGGGCAGACAUGCUUUAUCAUAUCAUUGAGCUACAAUUCUGGCCUACAGCAGAGAUACAGCCUGGUAUCCAUUAAGAGCAAGGCCUCUGGACCCAGGCUUCCUGGGCUUGCCUCCUGAUCCCAUCUUUUACUAAUUGUAUCGCCACAGAAAGAAAGGCUCCAGAUUUAUGUUUCCUGGUAUUGCUGCUAUUGGUAUUACUGUCCAUUAUUACUAUCAUCAUCAUCAUCACUAUUAUUAUUAUUAUUUUGCAAUUAAACUACAUUGGUGAAUCUUUAAUGUCCAUCUGACCUGAGACUGAAAUAGCUACAGUGCAAGACGGAGAGAGGCCUUCAUGCAUGGUGUGCAUUUGCCACCUAGUGACCACACUGAGGGAGAAGGAACAUGGACCAUCCACCCAGUCUUCCAAACAACAUCCCUCACCCAUAGUUGAAACUUUGGCUUCAGACCCUUCUCUGGCACUUCUGACAAUAAGUUUGGUGACCCAUGCUCUGGAGGAAGAAAGUGAAGAAGAGCAAGACUACUUCUCUGCAGCAAACUCUGAUGUUCUCUGUUCUUUCCUUACCACUGUUGUCAUGAGCAGCAUUUUUUCCCAUAGGUGCAUUGUUAUCCUUGCCAUGAGAGCAGACAAAAAUGAAAAAUAGUUGCCAAGUAACCAGAACUGCUGAUAAGAAACUUUGGGAAAUACCACUGAGAUGUGCUUUGGUAUUUUAUUUCUGGGAACAAACCAAUUGUCUUGGACUUUCACAGUACUCUUUUCUAUGUCUCACCCUUUACCACAAAGGUCCUUAAGUCCUUUGACAUGCAUAGUGUGAGGGAUUCUGGCACACAUUCUAGAACCUCGCAAAGUGGGGGGGGGGGGCUGCUAUCUGCUUUAUCAUCUUCAUUCCUGAAGUUUACUUUAAUUCUGAUUAGUUUGGCAUAAGGUCAUUUGUUGUAUGUAGUCAUCUGAGUUAUGUAUUGCCUGAUCCUGAGUAGCAGAGUAUUUAUCAUAAAUUCCUUGAUUUGCAUUGGUACCUAAUCAAGGAGGAGGAUAGUAUAGUUAAUUUCCAUACUUCCCUCUUGUUCUCAUGUUUGCCUCACCCAAGUGUUUCUGAGAUGCUGAACCUCCUCCAGAAAAGGUAAUGCUAAAAUUUCCUGUUCCCAAAAGGUGCUGCAGAACUCACUUCUAGUUGAAGUUUGAGUGUUUAAUUCACUUUUGUAAUCUCAUUAUUUGACUAAAGUAUUGUUAAAGUG
rnacentral:lncRNA from 1 species